rnacentral:tRNA from 1 species
GGGUGUAUAGCUCCAAUUGGUAGAGCGGCUGAUUCCAAAUCAGUAGGUUCUGGGUUCAAGUCCUAGUGCGCCCGCCA